GACCCAGUGGCGAAGUGGUAUCGCGUCCGCUUAUCAUAGGCGGUUUCAGCGAAUUUCCGCGGUAGACACCCGUUCGAUUUGGGUCUGGGUCC